GCACCCUUGGCUCAGCUGGAUAGAGCAUCUGACUACGAAUCAGAAGGUCGGGAGUUCGAAUCUCUCAGGGUGCACCA
rnacentral:tRNA from 1 species